UUUUGGGCAAGUUUUUGGAGCUCUGUGGGUGAGGAACUGAGUAUCACUUCUGCUAAAAUUCAUAGAUUUUAUUGAGAUUAGAGGAAUAGAGGAACAGUCCUUGGGUGGCGGAUGUGCUGUCUGACAUAGUUCAAAUGACAUCCUCACCCCCAUGGUGAGGAUCACAGCAUAAAAGAGGUGUGCCCUUUUCAUAGAACACAGUCAAAACCUGAGGAAACUAUUCCUCCCUGGAGAACCAGAGUGGGUGUGAAUACCUCUGCAGUGAGCGAAGACUUUGAAAUCCCACCAGGGAGUUCCUGGAGUGCCUUUGCUAAAGGACGGAUCACAUCCUACUUAAAGUCAACAGAAAGACUUCAAUGAGCCUCGAACUGGACCUGAAAUUGUUGCUUCUUUUCAGUUAUGGCAAUUCAUCACGCUCUUCCCCCAGCUCAUCCUCUCUGAUAUGCUGUGACAGUGAAUGUCAUUUGUUCAGGUUUGGGUCCUGUGGUGGUGUCUCUGGAUUUCCUUGGGACCAUUUUUCUCCUGAUGGUAUGCAGCAUGUUUCCAAAGACACACUGGUCCUUGAAGUUGCACUGCAGUUCUCCUGUCUCCCAAGUGAUUUGUAUAUACGGUUUUCACUACAGGAAAUAUUAUUCAUUAUCUAGAAUUAUUUUUUCCUCAGUUGAUGAGUUGAUGGAAUUAUUAUUACAAUUCUAUUAAAAAAAGAAAAGCAGGAAAGAGAUCUGUCAUCUCUCUCUGUGUACCAUGCUACUCCUGAAAGUGACGGUACAUUUAUCUAGGUUUAAUAGCUAAAAGAUUGGUCAAAGUGCAUCAACUGUGGUCCUGUUUGGGGAAACGCAAAAUCUUUUCUUAUAUUCAGCUGCACUGGAAGAGUUCUGUUGUUUCUGUGGGGCUGGAACACCAGUAGUGUUUGUGGCUCCAUCAGCAGGCCACUUCCAUCAGCUCUUUGUGAUUCAGAACAGCCUGGCCUCCUUAGCUCCUUUUUUAAGGACCUCACCACAAUAGAUGUCUUGCAGGGUUUGCAUGAAUGACCUCCAGUCUAGUGUGUCCUGUUUGAAAGCUGCCGGUGACUCUUCCUUGUUCGUUAGUCACUAAUUUAAGUUCUUCGGAACUUGCUGCUUCUGAUACUGGUGGGGUGAUUCAAGGUUACUUAGUUGUGGUGUUUCAUGAGAAUCACCACUUUUCAUUAAAGGAGAGGAAAGAAGUAAAUAUUUAGUGCUCUAAGUGAUUCCAGAAAGCAAGCUGAGCAUGCAGAGCUGCAGGGGCAAAAUUCAGAAGACAAGUUAAAACUCUGCAGCCUUUAAAAUGAUGUUAGUUAUUAUUUUUAGAUGUCAUGAUGUUUUUAAUGAACUCCUGAAAUUUUAGAGCCUGAAGCAAUUCAGUUUGGAAGAAUUAUAGUUUUAAGCUUCAGCACACCUUUAGAAUCUUCCCUGGUUUAGCUGAGAAGGAAGUGGAUGCACUAGGGAAUUACAUAUGUAUAUGCAUAUAUUUUGUAUUCAGUGCAUAUAUAUGUAUACAUCAUUCUUUUUACUUUAACUGCAUCUAUUUUGCUAACUGGACAGUUUGCAAGGACUAUAUCUGUAUUCCAAGAGGACAAAGUUUAAGAGGAAUGGCAUAAAUAUACUGUGGAUUUUAUUGGCGCAACAAUUGUAAUAUCUGUAUCAUAUAGAAAUAGCUGU